AAGUCGUAACAAGGUAACCGUAGGUGAACCUGCGGUUGGAUCAUUACGAAAUCAAAAACUUUCGUGGAUGGCAUCCUCUAGCUGAGGGUGCCCUCUCCCGAAAUUCACACCCUUGUGAACGUUUAACGUAUUUUGGCGACCCCCUUGGCACUUUAUUGGGUCUCGGUUGGAACAGUGGAUUUGUUUCCUGCUUUUCCUAAUGGGUCGCCAGCCUUGAACAAACACCAUUUAUUUUAUUGUCCUCUGAAACCAAAUUGAGAAACAAUGAGAAACAACUUUAGACAACGGAUCUCUUGGCUCUC
rnacentral:misc_RNA from 1 species